UACGUAGGGUGCGAGCGUUGUCCGGAAUUAUUGGGCGUAAAGAGCUCGUAGGCGGCUUGUCGCGUCGGAUGUGCAAGCCCGGGGCUUAACUCCGGGUCUGCAUUCGAUACGGGCAGGCUAGAGUUCGGUAGGGGAGAUCGGAAUUCCUGGUGUAGCGGUGAAAUGCGCAGAUAUCGGGAAGAACACCCGUGGCGAAGGCGGCUCUCUGGCCCGGUACUGACGCUGAGGUGCGAAAGCGUGGGGAGCAACAGG
rnacentral:rRNA from 1 species